AGAGUUUGAUCAUGGCUCAGAUUGAACGCUGGCGGCAGGCCUAACACAUGCAAGUCGAGCGGUAGAGAGAAGCUUGCUUCUCUUGAGAGCGGCGGACGGGUGAGUAAUGCCUAGGAAUCUGCCUGGUAGUGGGGGAUAACGUUCGGAAACGGACGCUAAUACCGCAUACGUCCUACGGGAGAAAGCAGGGGACCUUCGGGCCUUGCGCUAUCAGAUGAGCCUAGGUCGGAUUAGCUAGUUGGUGAGGUAAUGGCUCACCAAGGCGACGAUCCGUAACUGGUCUGAGAGGAUGAUCAGUCACACUGGAAUUGAGACACGGUCCAGACUCCUACGGGAGGCAGCAGUGGGGAAUAUUGGACAAUGGGCGAAAGCCUGAUCCAGCCAUGCCGCGUGUGUGAAGAAGGUCUUCGGAUUGUAAAGCACUUUAAGUUGGGAGGAAGGGUUGUAGAUUAAUACUCUGCAAUUUUGACGUUACCGACAGAAUAAGCACCGGCUAACUCUGUGCCAGCAGCCGCGGUAAUACAGAGGGUGCAAGCGUUAAUCGGAAUUACUGGGCGUAAAGCGCGCGUAGGUGGUUUGUUAAGUUGGAUGUGAAAUCCCCGGGCUCAACCUGGGAACUGCAUUCAAAACUGACUGACUAGAGUAUGGUAGAGGGUGGUGGAAUUUCCUGUGUAGCGGUGAAAUGCGUAGAUAUAGGAAGGAACACCAGUGGCGAAGGCGACCACCUGGACUAAUAC
rnacentral:rRNA from 1 species